rnacentral:rRNA from 1 species
CCUACGGGUUGCAGCAGUGGGGAAUCUUAGACAAUGGGCGCAAGCCUGAUCUAGCCAUGCCGCGUGAGUGAUGAAGGCCCUAGGGUCGUAAAGCUCUUUCGCCAGGGAUGAUAAUGACAGUACCUGGUAAAGAAACCCCGGCUAACUCCGUGCCAGCAGCCGCGGUAAUACGGAGGGGGUUAGCGUUGUUCGGAAUUACUGGGCGUAAAGCGCGCGUAGGCGGACCAGAAAGUUGGGGGUGAAAUCCCGGGGCUCAACCCCGGAACGGCCUCCAAAACUCCUGGUCUUGAGUUCGAGAGAGGUGAGUGGAAUUCCGAGUGUAGAGGUGAAAUUCGUAGAUAUUCGGAGGAACACCAGUGGCGAAGGCGGCUCACUGGCUCGAUACUGACGCUGAGGUGCGAAAGUGUGGGGAGCAAACAGGAUUAGAUACCCCAGUAGUC